CAUCAAAUUAAUCUACUCUAGGAUCUAUGAUAUGUUAUGUUGCAUAUAAAAUCUAAAAUAAUUUGAAGAUAAAAUCAGCAUAUAUGCAUGUGAGCAGUAGAUCAUAUCUACUUCUAAUCUGAGUUCAGAACUCCAUACUUGAUCAUAGGUUGAUGAUCUUCACUAUUAACAGAUAUGAUGAAGAGGAUCCUUGCUGGUUGCUUAUAGCCAUAUACGCAUCCGGUCUCUAUAAAAAAUUCACUCGAAGCCCC
rnacentral:lncRNA from 1 species